UCAGGAUGAGUAGAACUGGGGUUUUCUUUGUAGGAAAGUACCCUGGUGUGUGCUACUCAUGGUUACCCGUGAGAGGUGCACUGCUUCACGCCCCAGCCAUACCUUCCCGAUCCGUCCUGCGCUGCCUACCGCAACGUUUCUGCACUGGCAAGUAGCUCACCUCGCUAACAGGGCAGAAAGAGAAGAUUUGUGGAGCACGGCCGGCAUCUGACUGCAAUCACCCAGCUGCUGCCACUCCGGGCCCUUUCCACAGCAUUACCGAAUCACACAAACGGGGCCGGGAGGUGCGGAGAGGUCACUUUGUCUCCUUUCCCAAGGCAGCUCGCUCCACCCAAGCUGUACCUAAGAGAGCUGCCCAGCCCGCUUUUAGAAGUCUCUUAACGCUGAAGAGAUUCUGCAGAAGCACUGAGCAGCCCGCUUUCGAGUGCUUAACCACCCUCAGAAAACUUCCCAAGAAUAAAAGUCUGGAGGAAUCGAGGGGGGAUGUUUGGCCUACUGCUGACCUUGUCCGAGGUCCUCUCCACGUAGCAGGGCUCCUGGGGGGCGACCAGCAGGGGAACGAAGCCCGAGAGCAGCCGAUCCUCUUCCAGGCUGAGCAGGGCAAGGUCGUCAUCUGGGUCCUUGUACAGGGGCACCUCCGACUGAUUCACCGUGGUCAGUACGUUGCAGAAGUCAGCCAGCGUCGCCCACACAUCUACUGAGACCCUGGGAGAACGAGGAGAGACGUGAGCAAUUCGGGGCUGGAAUGCGUUGGGAGUUGCCUGCAACGCUGCAGCGAAUACCAGAGAGGUGAGAUGAGGCAACGCACGCCACCCCGCGCCCCGCGCCGCUGCCGACGUGCCCCACGGGGAGGGCUCCGGACACAGCUGCACUGGCACCGAACCCGCCAGGGCUUUUAACCCUCACCCCGAGCCAGCCAGAGCCGACCCCGAGCCUUCCAGCUCCCCGGAUGGGGAACGGCUCCGGGCAGGAUCCGGCCCCAACCCAACGCCCUGCCCGGCUCUGCCCGCUGUGGAGAGCCCCUGGCAGCCCCAGCAGGAACCCGGCUCGUUCCAGAUGGGAGAAACGCCGCUCGUUGCUCAAUUUCCAAGCAGGCUGGGAAGACAGGACACGUUUCCUGUGCUGCUGCAGGGGUGAAGGCAGCGCCCGGGGGGCUGCAGCCCAGCCCAGGCACCCUUUCCUUCGCCCAGCUCUACCUGCUGCCAUCGUGUGCUGCAGCCACACGCUGAAAAAGAGACAUUUUUUUUAGCUGAACCUCAGCCUCGUGGGGUUAGCUCGUGUUUUGCUUCUGGCCACGGCUUCAGCACUGGUGGGUGACCUGCACAGGCAGCUCCAGCACCUCGCUGGCACCCACGUGCAGGGAGUGGGGCACCAGCACGAGGCCACGGGCAGCCCUGGGGUGCUCUGUGCACGUCCCCAGGGCACAUCCCCAUGUCUGGGCACAUCCCCAUCACACAUCCCCAUGCCACAGACAACGAGCACAUCCCAGGAUGGCUCAGAGCACAGAGAAAUCACACAACAACCACUGGGCACCGCAUCCAGCCGGGCUGCCUCGUACCGCACCGCUCACUCCGACUUUAAAACCACUUGCGUAGGGUUAUUUUUUAGCCCGUAAACUGGGAAAAAAAGCAGGGAAGAGAGGAAACCGGGGCUGAUCUGCUCCUGGUGUCCACGAGGAGCUGCCCCUUCGCCCCACGGCGCAGCAGCCAGCAGCACCCGGGGGUGCAGCAGUGACCAGGGCGGCCCGAGGCAGGCGCGGGCUGGAGAGAGGCCCCCUGCUCUUUGAACUGCUCCAGGUGGACAGAGUCUGCGCUCGGUUAUUUACGGGAAUCAAUGUACCAGGAAAGCGCACUGAAAUGAAACAUCUUGUUUUCAAGAGCGUCCUGGGAGCCAGGCAGAACGAGCGGCCAUUAAUCAAAGCCCGGCACGUAAUCAGCACACAUGUACCGCAGAGUCGCCCACGUCCUGAAGCCAGCCCCGGCCAGCGCGCUGCAGAGGAGAAGAGGUCCUUCAAAGCCCUCUGCGCACAGACACCGGGAGCUGGGUUCAUUCACAAAGCUCCAUCGCUUGGCUCAGCCAGGUCUGGCUGUCAGAAAUGUUUAAAUAUGGAAAAAAAUAAACAGUUGCAACACUUUUUUUUUUUUCUUUUUU